rnacentral:rRNA from 1 species
AUCAACUUUCGAUGGUAGGAUAGAGGCCUACCAUGGUGGUAACGGGUAACGGGGUGUUAGGGCACGACACCGGAGAGGGAGCCUGAGAAACGGCUACCACAUCCAAGGAUGGCAGCAGGCGCGCAAAUUACCCAAUCCCGACACGGGGAGGUAGUGACAAUAAAUAACAAUACGGGGUUCUUUCGGAUCUCGUAAUUGGAAUGAGUACAAUUUAAAUCUCUUAACGAGGAACAAUUGGAGGGCAAGUCUGGUGCCAGCAGCCGCGGUAAUUCCAGCUCCAAUAGCGUAUAUUAAAGUUGUUGCAGUUAAAAAGCUCGUAGUUGAAUUUCGGGAUCAGAUUGUCGGUCGUGCCUCGGUACGCACUGGCAUUAUUGGUUCCUACCUUCUGAAGAACCGCGAUGUCAUUAAUUUGGUGUCGUGGGGAAUCAGGACUGUUACUUUGAAAAAAUUAGAGUGUUUAAAGCAGGCUUACGCUUGAAUACAUUAGCAUGGAAUAAUGAAAUAGGACGUUUGAUUCUAUUUUGUUGGUUUCUAGGAUUGACGUAAUGAUUAAUAGGGAUAGUUGGGGGCAUUAGUAUUCAAUUGUCAGAGGUGAAAUUCUUGGAUUUAUUGAAGACUAACUACUGCGAAAGCAUUUGCCAAGGAUGUUUUCAUUAAUCAAGAACGAAAGUUAGGGGAUCGAAGACGAUCAGAUACCGUCGUAGUCUUAACCAUAAACUAUGCCGACUAGGGAUCGGAUGAUGUUAAUUUUUUAAUGACUCAUUCGGCGCCUUACGGGAAACCAAAGUGUUUGGGUUC